rnacentral:tRNA from 1 species
AGGAGAAUAGUUCAGUUGGUAGAACAUUGGUUUCCAAAACCAAAAGACAGGGGUUCAAAUCCCUUUUUUCCUG